UGUCAACAUUACCUCUGCCAAAGGAAUC
rnacentral:piRNA from 1 species